CUUUAUUGUGGGACCUCGUGUCAUCAUGAAUGAUAAGGUGCAUUGUGUAAUGCAAUUGUUUAAGGAAUAUCACAAGAUUGCUAGUUAGCCAAUCAGAAUAAUGUAUUAUAAUGAAACAUACAUCUAAUGUAAUUAUUUAUUAUUGAAUUUUGUCAUUUUGAACUGAAAUGCAAUCUUAAAUAUUUGAGAUAUUGUGAAAAAUCCUGUUUAAUUCAUAUAAAAAAA
rnacentral:lncRNA from 1 species